rnacentral:rRNA from 1 species
GACGAACGCUGGCGGCGUGCCUAAUACAUGCAAGUUGAGCGCUGAAGGUUGGUACUUGUACCAACUGGAUGAGCAGCGAACGGGUGAGUAACGCGUGGGGAAUCUGCCUUUGAGCGGGGGACAACAUUUGGAAACGAAUGCUAAUACCGCAUAAAAACUUUAAACACAAGUUUUAAGUUUGAAAGAUGCAAUUGCAUCACUCAAAGAUGAUCCCGCGUUGUAUUAGCUAGUUGGUGAGGUAAAGGCUCACCAAGGCGAUGAUACAUAGCCGACCUGAGAGGGUGAUCGGCCAAAUUGGGACUGAGACACGGCCCAAACUCCUACGGGAGGCAGCAGUAGGGAAUCUUCGGCGAUGGACGAAAGUCUGACCGAGCAACGCCGCGUGAGUGAAGAAGGUUUUCGGAUCGUAAAACUCUGUUGGUAGAGAAGAACGUUGGUGAGAGUGGAAAGCUCAUCAAGUGACGGUAACUACCCAGAAAGGGACGGCUAACUACGUG